rnacentral:rRNA from 1 species
AAUCAACGCUGGCGGCGUGCCUCAGACAUGCAAGUCGAACGCGAAAGUUUCCUUCGGGAGACAAGUAGAGUGGCGCACGGGUGAGUAACACGUAGGUAAUCUACCUUUGGAUGGGGAAUAACAACCGGAAGCGGUUGCUAAUACCGCAUAAUGCAGCGGCACCUAAUGGUGACAGUUGUUAAAGCGGGGGAGUCGAAAGACCUCGCGUCUGAAGAGGAGCCUGCGGCGGAUUAGCUAGUUGGUAAGGUAAUGGCUUACCAAGGCUACGAUCCGUAACCGGCCUGAGAGGGGCGGUCGGUCACACUGACACUGACAUACGGGUCAGACUCCUACGGGAGGCAGCAGUCGGGAAUUUUGGGCAAUGGGCGAAAGCCUGACCCAGCAACGCCGCGUGAAGGAUGAAA